rnacentral:tRNA from 1 species
GGUCCUAUGGCUUAGAUGGCAAAGCGCCUGCCUAGUAAGCAGGAGAUCACGAGUUCGUGUCUCGUUGGGACCU